GGGGGUGUACUGGCUUCGACUUGGGAAUGAAGUAUUGAACGCAUGCGGAGGAUUUCGGUUGGCCUCCUUAAAAAACCGAUACAGCAAUAAAUGCUGAAGAAAACACAAUGGCUAACUGGUUCGCUAAAGGUGAAGCGCAAGCUCAACCUGAACUAGUUGCUUGUGCUGCUUAAUACUUAACCGUAUUGAGUGGUCCGAUGGCCCGGGGUUAGACUAAGGACUCCGGAUUUCGUCGUAAUCAAUCUUGGUAAGGAAAGAAUGCCCGAACGCUUCCAGGGCAUCUUUUCAAGAUUAAACGAAGCAGGUUGAUCUUAGUGUCGUGUUCUGCAACGGGAUUAACCUUAAUUAUCAGAACGCUAAGCAUGUAGUGGGCAAUAUGUAGUUUGCCGAGGACGAGAGUUCGACUCUCUCCACCUCCAA
rnacentral:tmRNA from 1 species